CCUACGGGUGGCAGCAGUGAGGAAUAUUGGUCAAUGGCCGUAAGGCUGAACCAGCCAAGUCGCGUGAAGGAAGAAGGAUCUAUGGUUUGUAAACUUCUUUUAUAGGGGAAUAAAGGUAUCCACGUGUGGAUAUUUGCAUGUACCCUAUGAAUAAGCAUCGGCUAACUCCGUGCCAGCAGCCGCGGUAAUACGGAGGAUGCGAGCGUUAUCCGGAUUUAUUGGGUUUAAAGGGUGCGUAGGCUGUUUUUUAAGUCAGCGGUGAAAGUUUGGGGCUCAACCCUGGAAGUGCCGUUGAAACUGGAAGACUCGAGUGUGAGUGAGGUAGGCGGAAUGCGUGGUGUAGCGGUGAAAUGCAUAGAUAUCACGCAGAACUCCGAUUGCGAAGGCAGCUUGCUGAGGCAUAACUGACGCUGAAGCACGAAAGCGUGGGGAUCGAACAGGAUUAGAUACCCUUGUAGUC
rnacentral:rRNA from 1 species